rnacentral:rRNA from 1 species
GACGAACGCUGGCGGCGUGCUUAACACAUGCAAGUCGAACGGAAAGGCCCUGCUUUUGUGGGGUACUCGAGUGGCGAACGGGUGAGUAACACGUGAGUAACCUGCCCUUGACUUUGGGAUAACUUCAGGAAACUGGGGCUAAUACCGGAUAGGAGCUCCUGCUGCAUGGUGGGGGUUGGAUAGUUUCGGCGGUUGGGGAUGGACUCGCGGCUUAUCAGCUUGUUGGUGGGGUAGUGGCUUACCAAGGCUUUGACGGGUAGCCGGCCUGAGAGGGUGACCGGCCACAUUGGGACUGAGAUACGGCCCAGACUCCUACGGGAGGCAGCAGUGGGGAAUAUUGCACAAUGGGCGGAAGCCUGAUGCAGCAACGCCGCGUGCGGGAUGACGGCCUUCGGGUUGUAAACCGCUUUCGCCUGUGACGAAGCGUGAGUGACGGUAAUGGGUAAAGAAGCACCGGCUAACUACGUG